GCGAACUCCGGUCAGCUGACACAUCCCUGCCAAUCUCCGGCAGACCCUCCCUCCCACUUCCUGGACAGCAUCCAUGUUGAAGCUGCCUUCAACAUGGAUGCUGUCCAGGAAGUAGGAGGGUCUGGGAGGGAGGGUCUGCCGGAGAUUGGCAGGGAUGUGUCAGCUGACCG